CAGCGAGGAAACGGUGAAACCACAUCGACUUCCCCCGACAGCUCAUUCAUUCCUCCCCUACCCACACCCACACCACAUCGGCGCCGCCCCAUCUCCCUCCAUCGGACCUCGCCGCCGCCCCCUCCCCUCGAGCGAGGAGGUCAGGUGUCGUCCCCAGAUCCGUCAAGGGAUUCGAAUUGGAGCUCUCCAUCGCUCGCGCCCCGGACGGAACAUCCGUCUGCUCUUGCUCGCCGGCGACGCCAUGGAGAUGGAGGUUCCUCCGUGCGUUUCUGCUUGCUCGGACUCGGGACGCCGCUGCUCGUCAAGCCAGCGGCGGCCAUCCACGACGGAGUACAGUACAGGACGUCCUCCUCGACGCAGCCGUCCCUUCUUUGCCAGCCCCCUGCCCCCUCUCCGGCGAUGUGGACUGAUGAUGACUGCUUCCUCCUCCCCUCCUCAACCCCCAGAUCUGGACCUUCUGGACGUGGAUGUGAUAAGUAACGAAUUCACCGGUGCUGAUGCUUCUUCAGUUGAGGCAGUCUGGUCUCUGGCUGCUACUGGAACGAGAUGUGUGAUGGCUAAUAUCAAUCAGCUCUUCAAGACAGCGUGCGUACCAGGAGGGCAAAAAUGCAAGGGUGACUGCUUGGAGUGGUUUUGAUAUGGCUUCUCCCUUAACUUAUGCGCGCGCUGGUGCUUUGUGUGCUUCCUUCUUCCCUUCCCGGGACGUCGCUCUCCCGCUGCUCUGACGCCAUAGACUUACAAAUCCAAAAUUUUUGGAUCAGGGCAGUUGCUUGACAUUUUGUUAUACAUGCAACUGAGCCGGUCAGUUGGCGGCUCCCAGAUCUAUCCCGCAUGGUCGCCAUGAUGAUGACGACCUCCCGUCCACAUAUUUGUGCUCGUUCGACGACGCGACCGUCUCUUCCUCACCUCACCUCAGGCUAGCGGCGUCCAAAUCAAGUGCAUUCGUCAAUGGCCUCGACAGAGAUGCAGUCUGAUUGCUCUGUCAUGCCGUCGUGAAGGCUCCUUCUCCACAACCACACACGGAAGCCAUGGAAGCCGCAUGUGCUUCUUCUCCAUGGGGGUCAGUAGCUGCCGCCAUGGAAGCAAGUCCUAGAGCUCGUUAAGAGCAUCUUGUCAUCAGCGACCUACCUCCACUGGGACCUGACUGCCAUCCGACAACACGUGAGCCAUAUCGGACGUUGGGACCUCCAGGUCCGCCUACAUGGGUUGCGGACCCGGCGUAAAUCACAUCUACUCUCCCCGGAGGUCUCUCCUCCUCUGACGCCUCCGAUGAAUGCUUCUUCUCUGACCACGGCCAUGAAGAUAGACAUGAUUUCUGAUUUCUGCCAUUGAAGUCCUUAGUGGGCAGACCACUAGGGAGCUUGUUGAGAUGUUCAAGGAGUGAGAGAGCUUCAUCUUGCAGUGCAAAGCACAGGAUGGAGGUCCAGAGCAGGUACCUAUAGGCUACAAAGCAUGGACACGGCUGGAAGUGCCGAACUGCCGUUCUGAUACGGCAGGAUACGGGGAUACGCCAGGAUACGCCGGGAUACGCGAACUUUGCAGUAUCCCCCGAAUUUCGAUUUUAAAAAAGGAAAAAAACACAGGGAUACGUUUGGGACACGUGCGGGAUACGUUUGGGACACGGCCUGGCCCAAAACAGCCUCGGCCCAACCCAGUAUACCUAACCUAUUUGCAGGAACUCCCGCACGCUCUCGUCUCAAGGACGAGGUGCUCCCUCCCAGCCUCCCCGCGCCGCCAGCCUCCUGGAUCGAAGCCGCCUCCGCCUUGACUCGUCGCCGACGCCUGGAUUCGACCGGCGAUAGCUGGUGCUACCCCCAGCCUCGCAGGUAACCAAGCAGCCUCUCCCCUCUCCCCUUUCCUCGACCUCUUCCUCUUUUAUCCUUCAGAUUUGCUUGUGCUGCUGGAUGUUGCUUGCUGGCUUGAUGCUUGCUUGUGCUGCCGCUUAUGCUGGUGGUGCUGCUGCUCAUGCUUGUGCUGCUGCUGCUCAUGCUUGCAUUGUCUUCCAAUUAUGUCUUGUCUUCUAAUCUUCUGUACUGUCUGUGUUUGAUGUGUUUUGCAAGAUAGAUGCAGCUUGCAAUGACAACAUGACAUGGGGGGAUGAGGACCAAUCAAUCAUCACUUGAUAAAAGAGACACCAAAUGGGGCAUUACCCUCUAUUAUGAUCUCUUUCUCAUUAAUUUUCUGUCUUAAUUGUAUAUUAUAUGGCAUAUUUUUAUUUUAUUUUAUAUAUACUCGCCGUAUCCCCGAAUGGCUGUUUUUGAAAAAUGCCGUAUCCCGUAUCCCCGUAUGCGUAUCCCCGUCUUUCCGUCCCCGUGUCCGUGCUUUUUAGCCUAUAGGUGCAAUUGGUUACAUCAGGCGGCGCCACCACCCCCAUGGAGGUGGUGCGGCGCCUCUGCUCCAGUGACCACUUCUUACAUAGGAAACCAGUGUCGUUAAUCUGCUAAGCAUAUGAUUCCAGAGCAUCUUGUCACCAGCGACCUACCUCCAUUGGGACUUAACUGCCAGCCGACAACACGUGAACCAUACCGUACAUCGUCGGGACCUUCAUGUCUGGCUAUAUGGGUUGCGCUCAACUUUCCUAUAGGCCGCAUCGGAGCUGGGACCCGACGCAAAUCGCACCUACCCUCCCUCCUCUAACGCCUCCGGUGAACGCUUCUUCUCUGACCUACGGCCUAGACGGAUGGAACAUUUGGGCUUAAGAUCUUGCUGCAUCUCUCAACACUCUUCAAUCUCUUGAGCACUCUUCAGUCUGUUGAGGCUUUUGUUGCCAAGGGAAAACAGAAAAGCAAGGACAGUGACAUACUCCAAUGUGUUGUGAUAUGCAUGGCAGUGACGGUUUUGCGCAUUGAGAUUGAUGGUGCAUGAUGAUGCCGCAAGGUGCCGAGGAGAGAAGCACCUCCUAGAUCCGAGAUUUGCAAGCACCAGAUGGAAUGGCAAGUCAAGCUGGCCGGACGUGUUAGUGUGUGCAUUGUUUGUUGUCUGGUUGGUUUCUUGCAAAGUGCUAAUUGUUGAUAUGGUGAUGAUAUUAUUGUGUGUAAUUACAUAAAACAAAAUGUCUUGGCUAAUGCCUGUUGCUCUCUUGGUCAGUCGGUUGGCUGGUUGUGUUGCCAACGGUUGGGCCUCAUGAAGUAGCUAAACUAGUGUUGAAGGAAAUUGAACUAUCCUUGUUUUAUGUAUGUGUUGUCCCCAUUGAAUCAAUGCAAUGCAAAAAGUUUGAACAGC